GUUUCCCUGAAAAAACAAGGUAGACAAGAAAAGUCAAGAAAUAGAGAAAGGAAGAAAUGUACGGAUUCUCGAGCCUGAGUACCAAGGAUUUAGGGAAGGAGGUUGAUCUCGAGGCUGGCAAUGGAGAGACGUUGUACCCUGGUUUGAGUCUGGGGGAGAACCAACUUCGAUGGGGCUUGGUCCGCAAGGUCUACGGCAUUCUUGCCGUCCAGCUGAUGCUCACCACCAUAGUCUCCGCCUUCACCGUCCUCUACACCCCUGUCAACGCUCUCCUCGGUGACAGUCCUGGCCUCCUUUUGCUCCUCUGCAUCGUUCCCUUCAUCCUGCUGUGGCCCUUGCACGUUUUUCACCAGAAGCACCCAGUCAACCUGAUUCUCCUUGGUCUCUUCACUGUGUCGCUAAGCCUUUUGGU
rnacentral:misc_RNA from 1 species